rnacentral:rRNA from 1 species
GACGAACGCUGGCGGCGUGCCUAAUACAUGCAAGUAGAACGCUGAAGAGAGGAGCUUGCUCUUCUUGGAAGAGUUGCGAACGGGUGAGUAACGCGUAGGUAACCUGCCUUGUAGCGGGGGAUAACUAUUGGAAACGAUAGCUAAUACCGCAUAACAAUGGGUGACCCAUGUCAUUCAUUUAAAAGGGGCAACUGCUCCACUACAAGAUGGACCUGCGUUGUAUUAGCUAGUAGGUGAGGUAACGGCUCACCUAGGCGACGAUACAUAGCCGACCUGAGAGGGUGAUCGGCCACACUGGGACUGAGACACGGCCCAGACUCCUACGGGAGGCAGCAGUAGGGAAUCUUCGGCAAUGGGGGCAACCCUGACCGAGCAACGCCGCGUGAGUGAAGAAGGUUUUCGGAUCGUAAAGCUCUGUUGUAAGUCAAGAACGAGUGUGAGAGUGGAAAGUUCACACUGUGACGGUAGCUUACCAGAAAGGGACGGCUAACUACGUGCCAGCAGCCGCGGUAAUACGUAGGUCCCGAGCGUUGUCCGGAUUUAUUGGGCGUAAAGCGAGCGCAGGCGGUUUGAUAAGUCUGAAGUUAAAGGCUGUGGCUCAACCAUAGUUCGCUUUGGAAACUGUCAAACUUGAGUGCAGAAGGGGAGAGUGGAAUUCCAUGUGUAGCGGUGAAAUGCGUAGAUAUAUGGAGGAACACCGGUGGCGAAAGCGGCUCUCUGGUCUGUAACUGACGCUGAGGCUCGAAAGCGUGGGGGAGCGAACAGG